rnacentral:lncRNA from 1 species
CUAUCUUCCUGUUCUGGAUCCUCAGCUCUUUGCACAUAGUAGACAUUGACUAUAUACUUAUUGAAUGAAUGAAUAAAUAAAUAAUUUUCCAGCCAAACUGGAGCAGUUUUAGAAUUUUGUGUUUAGAAGUGAAAAUAUCAUUAUGAAGGAAAUAUCAUUAUGAUGCAUCAACAAGAAAAAACAGUGUUCUAGUUCUCAGCUUGGAUGGAGGUCACGGGCAGGGAUGGGGUGAGCACACAGAAUGAUUAGAGUCGAGUGUGCUUGCUGAAUCCUCAGUUAAACACUGAGGUCCCUCCCUUCAACCCCAAAGCAGUGAGAAGAUUCCACAGCCUCCAUGGAAUUUAUUUGGAACACCAGAUCCUUGGUGGUAAAAGGCUCAAGGGGAAAUAUUUGUCUGGUGUGUGACAGAUGGGAAUUAAUACGGUUUCGUCAAGGGUGUGCCCUGACCUCAGGUAGCCUGGGAAGAGCGCUAUCAUUUCUCACUUCCAAAGAAGGACUUGGCAUGGUGGAAGAGAGAAAUUUGGCCUGGGAAUGAGAACAUCUCUGGAGCAGCUAUAAAUAAGGAUUGAGCACAAGAACCACAUAGUAUGAGAAAUACGUCAGCAAAUGCUAUGUCGACAGACGACACUGAGCUGCCCGUCUCUCCCCUCUCACAUCAGUAGUGCAUGGCAACUAUUUUAGACUUUUGGUACUUGAUAUGACCUCAGUAAAUGGGGAGCGCCCCAAACCAAAAUGACACUUAGUUUCCAAAAAGCCAAUGGAAAAGGGGACUUGAAACAGAGAUUAAGAUGUAUAGACAAAGACAGUUACAUUUUUUGCACAGCUGAAUUCAUAGAUUGAUAUUCGUACCUGCAAUAGGGAGAUUUCCCCCCCUCUUUGUUCUUGCUAGAUAACACAUUUAUUUAUCGAGCAAUAGUUUAUGAGGGACCUCUGGAUGCCAGGCUCUGGCACAAGACGGACGUGAGAACACAGUCUUGGAUGUAACACAGUUUUGACCAUAAGAUUUUAAUAUGGGCAUUACAAAGCGAAGAUAAUCUUUUGUAUAAACAGAACAUCAUUACCUUGUUUAUACUUUCAUACUUUAAAGGUAAACCUUUGGCAUUUUUGAGCCUUCUGGGAGAAAACCAGAAGUUAAUAGAACUUGUUAAAAGAAGGCAAAGUUUCCUUCCUUGUACUCCUUCACUGUUAUUUAUUAAUCUAUUUGCAUUAAGUGUUAACUCGCAAAAUUAACAAUCCAGUGUAUUAAUGGGUAAGGAACAAAAAGGUUGAAAACGGAGUGCUUAAGCUGCUAGUGGAAAUUUUUUUAUUGGAAUCAUUAACUGGAUUGUAAUUAAAACUGAUACUGUACUAGCCACCUUUACUUUUUACAAGUUACUUCUGACAAAUUUUUGGUUGUGGGCCUGAACAAAACAAUAUUUAUUCAGGCUUCCUCUUAAUGUACCUCAAUUUCUGUACUGGUAGAGAGAACCACCCUCACCUGCUGCCCAAUAUGACAACACCCUGCAGUUCUCUCCAAAAUCUAAGCACAGAAGCUACAUCCUGGGCUCCAGCUAGGAAUUAGGAAUGUUGUUUUUUCUUUCUUUUUUUUUUUUUUUGGUCUGUUUGUUUCAUCAACCAAAUUGAAGAAUCGAGGUAUAGAAAGUUGGCAUCUCCAGUUGGGUUUCCCUAGGCAUACCUUGAGAUUAGAGCUUGUAUAAAAGUUACUUGUUCGGAAGUAUUUCCAGGAAAAUCUGAUAGGAGAGUGGAGAAGUGAGGCCAGGAAGGAGAGGAGGAUGAGGGAGGGUGUAACAUCCUGAAAAGUCCCACAGAGAAUAACUUUGGCUCAAUUACUCAGGGGAGUUCUGGAGGCAGUGUAGGUCACAUUUCAGACAACAUUUCUCUAGAAUUUGGUGAGAGAAUUAAAUCCUAAUUUCCUAAGGCUUCCCUUGUAUGUAAUGAAUUAAUUUCUCUCCUAUGCAUCUAGCGUGGUAUCCAUUAUGAAUCAUUCUUUGGAGAACUGAGAAAUCAGUCGCUCAAAUUAUAUUUUGUGUUGUGUGGUUUGGAUGAGGAACACUGGCUGCUGGGGUGUCUUGAUCAGAAGACAGAGGAGCCAAUGUGUCUUAUACUCCAUUUUCAUCAGUCAUUGGUUAAAGGCUGCCACCCAGGGGAGAUACAAACUCUAGGCCCUCCAGGCUCCUUCAAUCAGUUGAGUAAAUGGGGUUCACAGCCUGAAGGCAGUGUCACAUAAAGAGGUAUGGAUGCUGGCUUUUGGGGUGAAAGCAUACUGGGGGUCAUCGUACAUGAAUCUGGUGAAGAGAUCCAAAAGGAUGGUUGGAACACUGAUGGCCUCUGCUCCAGUUCUAUCCCUCUGCUACAAAGAUUUCUUCAUGCUUCACAUUAGCUGAACUGUAUAGAUUCUUCAGGAUAAGGUUGGUCAUAAUUUUUAGAAAAUAAAAAAAAAAGAUCUUCAAGAGGAAGACUACUG